GGCAGCAGCCAUAUCACUCUGCAACUCACAACUAGCAACCCACUGAAACUAAGCAGGUGUGAACCCAGUCAGUACCUGGAUGGGAGACCUCCUGGGAAAAACUAAGGUUGCUGCUGGAA
rfam:Lepisosteus oculatus linkage group LG22, whole genome shotgun sequence.